rnacentral:rRNA from 1 species
UGGGGAAUUUUGGACAAUGGGCGAAAGCCUGAUCCAGCAAUGCCGCGUGUGUGAAGAAGGCCUUCGGGUUGUAAAGCACUUUUGUCCGGAAAGAAAUCCUUGGCUCUAAUACAGUCGGGGGAUGACGGUACCGGAAGAAUAAGCACCGGCUAACUACGUGCCAGCAGCCGCGGUAAUACGUAGGGUGCAAGCGUUAAUCGGAAUUACUGGGCGUAAAGCGUGCGCAGGCGGUUUGCUAAGACCGAUGUGAAAUCCCCGGGCUCAACCUGGGAACUGCAUUGGUGACUGGCAGGCUAGAGUAUGGCAGAGGGGGGUAGAAUUCCACGUGUAGCAGUGAAAUGCGUAGAGAUGUGGAGGAAUACCGAUGGCGAAAGGCAGCCCCCUGGGCCAAUACUGACGCUCAUGCACGAAAGCGUGGGGAGCAAAACAGGAUUAGAUACCCUGGUAGUCCACGCCCUAAAACGAUGUCAACUAGUUGUUGGGGAUUCAUUUCCUUAGUAACGUAGCUAACGCGUGAAGUUGACCGCCUGGGGGAGCACGGUCGCAAGAUUAAAACUCAAAUGAAUUGACGGGGUCAUAGCUGUUUCCU